GACGAACGCUGGCGGCGUGCUUAACACAUGCAAGUCGAACGGAAAGGCCUCUUUCGGGGGGUACUCGAGUGGCGAACGGGUGGGUAACACGUGAGUAACCUGCCCUUGACUUUGGGAUAACUUCAGGAAACUGGGGCUAAUACCGGAUAGGAGCUCCUGCUGCAUGGUGGGGGUUGGAAAGUUUCGGCGGUUGGGGAUGGACUCGCGGCUUAUCAGCUUGUUGGUGGGGUAGUGGCUUACCAAGGCUUUGACGGGGAGCCGGCCUGAGAGGGUGACCGGCCACAUUGAGUCUGAGGUACGGCACAGACUCCUACGGGAGGGAGCAGUGGGGAAUAUUGCACAAUGGGUGGAAGCCUGAUGCAGCAACGCCGUGUGCGGGAUGACGGUCUUCGGGUUGUAGACCGCUUUCGCUCAUGACGAAGCUUUGUGUGACGGUAGUGGGUAAAGAAGCACCGGCUAACUACGUG
rnacentral:rRNA from 1 species